rnacentral:rRNA from 1 species
CCUACGGGUGGCAGCAGUGAGGGAUAUUGGUCAAUGGGCGGAACUCUGAACCAGCAACGCCGCGUGAGGGAAGACGGUUUUCUGAUUGUAAACCUCUGUCCUCUGUGAAGAUAAUGACGGUAGCAGAGUAGGAAUCUCCGGCUAACUACGUGCCAGCAGCCGCGGGAAUACGUAGGGAGCAAGCGUUGUCCGGAUUUACUGGGCGUAAGGGGUGCGUAGGCGGGUUUGCAAGUCAGAAGUGAAAUCUAUGGGCUUAACCCAUAAACUGCUUUUGAAACUGUAGGUCUUGAGAGAAGUAGCGGUAGGCGGAAUGCACGGUGUAGCGGUGAAAUGCGUAGAGAUCGGGAGGAACACCAGUGGCGAAGGCGGCCUACUGGGCUAUAACUGACGCUGAGGCACGAAAGCGUGGGUAGCAAACAGGAUUAGAUACCCGAGUAGUC